rnacentral:rRNA from 1 species
UACGUAGGCAGCAAGCGUUGUUCGGAGUUACUGGGCGUAAAGGGUGCGUAGGCGGCUUUUUAAGUUUGGUGUGAAAUCUCCCGGCUCAACUGGGAGGGUGCGCCGAAUACUGAGAGGCUAGAGUGUGGGAGAGGAAAGUGGAAUUCCUGGUGUAGCGGUGAAAUGCGUAGAUAUCAGGAGGAACACCGGUGGUGUAAACGGCUUUCUGGACCAUAACUUACGCUGAGGCACGAAAGCGUGGGUAGCAAACAGG